rnacentral:lncRNA from 1 species
AUCAACUAGAAACGAAUUACGGUGGCAAGGAAGGGACAACAACAAUUUCGCUUCAGCAGUAGGCAAAGGAGGAAGCAAACGGUAGAAAAAGCAAAGGAGGAAGCAAACGGUAGAAAUCUAAUUCAUGCAUUUUUUUAAAUCAAUUGCAAAUUUUGGCGAGACUUUCAGUCUGUCGGAAUAAGUCGGCUAAUAAAAAAUUGAUUGGCAGGCAAACUCAGCCCCUUAAUUGAGAUUAUCUUUAUCACUUAUUUGAAGGACGGGGUCGGAGAUCUGGAGCUCGGGCGGCUCCUCCUCCUCCUCCUCUGCCUUCCGGCGGGAGGGCUUGCGGAGGCGGUCGCGGUUCUUGACGAAGAGGUCGAUGAGGGAGGUGGGGAAGCCGGUCUCGACGAC